rnacentral:rRNA from 1 species
CGAACGCUGGCGGCGUGGAUUAGGCAUGCAAGUCGAACGGGGUUUAGCCCUUCGGGGCGAAGACCUAGUGGCGAAAGGGUGAGUAAUACAUGGAUUACCUACCUCCGGGACCGGGACAACAGUUGGAAACGACUGCUAAUACCGGAUUGUCCAGAGAUGGUAAAGGGCGGGGACCUUCGGGCCUGCCGCCUGGAGAGGGGUCCAUGGCCUAUCAGCUUGUUGGUGAGGUAACGGCUCACCAAGGCUAAAACGGGUAGCCGGUCUGAGAGGAUGGUCGGCCACACUGGGACUGAGACACUGCCCAGACUCCUACGGGAGGCUGCAGUCGAGAAUCUUCCGCAAUGGACGAAAGUCUGACGGAGCGACGCCGCGUGCGGGAUGAAGGCCUUCGGGUUGUAAACCGCUGUCACACGUUAAGAACAAGUGUAGGUUAAUAGCCUGCAACCUGACAAAGGCGUGAGAGGAAGCCACGGCUAACUUCGUGCCAGCAGCCGCGGUAAG